rnacentral:tmRNA from 1 species
GGGGCUGUAAGGGUUUUGACGGGGAGUGUGGAUGCGCGAGUUGCGAGCCGAGGGUGCGACAAGCCUCGUUAAACACGGUCGCCAACGUCCUAAAUGCAGACGUAAAAGAAGCACUUGCUGGCGUUCAGUGGGCCUGGACUAAUACUUCAGUGUUCGCGGGCGCCGCAGUCGCAGCUUAACCUAGUUAAGUUGCCCGUCUCCCAGGUUCUCCGGUAAGCUUGGGUAAGACGAUAUAUUCCGGAUCGCUCUCCGGUCUCUCCGGCCGGCCGGGGGGCUAAAAAAUAGAACGGAUAGCUUAGGGAACUCCUCGUUUCGGGUCAAACCUUAAGCGAACCAAAUAAUUGAAACUACGCUCGUAGUGGCUCUCGUUUCCAUCUUUUCGGACAGGGGUUCGACUCCCCUCAGCUCCAUAU